AUUUAUGUAGUUUAAAAAACAUUACAUUUUCACUGUAAAAAUAGAGUAAUCUCAUAAAUA
rnacentral:tRNA from 1 species